rnacentral:rRNA from 1 species
UUUCCGGUUGAUCCUGCCGGGACCUGACUGCUAUCGGAUUGAUACUAAGCCAUGCGAGUCAUUGUAGUAAUACAAGGCAGACGGCUCAGUAACGCGUAGUCAACCUACCCUAUGGACGGGGAUAACCUCGGGAAACUGAGAAUAAUACCCGAUAGAACAUUAUACCUGGAAUGGUUUAUGUUUCAAAUAAUUUAUUGCCGUAGGAUGGGACUGCGGCCUAUCAGUUUGCUGGUGAGGUAAUGGCCCACCAAGACUAUUACAGGUACGGGCUCUGAGAGGAGUAGCCCGGAGAUGGGUACUGAGACACGGACCCAGGCCCUAUGGGGCGCAGCAGGCGAGAAAACUUUGCAAUGUGCGAAAGCACGACAAGGUUAAUCCGAGUGGUUUCUGCUAAAGGAACCUUUUGUCAGUCCUAGAAACACUGGUGAAUAAGGGGUGGGCAAGUUCUGGUGUCAGCCGCCGCGGUAAAACCAGCACCUCAAGUGGUCAGGAUGAUUAUUGGGCCUAAAGCAUCCGUAGCCUGCUUUGUUAGUUUUCGGUUAAAUCCAUACGCUUAACGUAUGGGCUGCCGGGAAUACUGCAAAGCUAGGGAGUGGGAGAGGUAGACGGUACUCGGUAGGAAGGGGUAAAAUCCUUUGAUCUAUUGAUGACCACCUGUGGCGAAGGCGGUCUACCAGAACACGUCCGACGGUGAGGGAUGAAAGCUGGGGGAGCAAACCGGAUUAGAUACCCGGGUAGUCCCAGCUGUAAACUAUGCAAACUCGGUGAUGCAUUGGCUUGAUGCCAAUGCAGUGCCGCAGGGAAGCCGUUAAGUUUGCCGCCUGGGAAGUACGUACGCAAGUAUGAAACUUAAAGGAAUUGGCGGGGGAGCACCACAAGGGGUGAAGCCUGCGGUUCAAUUGGAUUCAACGCCGGG